UACGUGCCAGCAGCCGCGGUAAUACGUAGGGCGCAAGCGUUAUCCGGAAUUAUUGGGCGUAAAGAGCUCGUAGGCGGUUUGUCGCGUCUGCUGUGAAAACCCGAGGCUCAACCUCGGGCCUGCAGUGGGUACGGGCAGACUAGAGUGCGGUAGGGGAGAUUGGAAUUCCUGGUGUAGCGGUGGAAUGCGCAGAUAUCAGGAGGAACACCGAUGGCGAAGGCAGAUCUCUGGGCCGUAACUGACGCUGAGGAGCGAAAGGGUGGGGAGCAAACAGGCUUAGAUACCCUGGUAGUCCACCCCGUAAACGUUGGGAACUAGUUGUGGGGUCCAUUCCACGGAUUCCGUGACGCAGCUAACGCAUUAAGUUCCCCGCCUGGGGAGUACGGCCGCAAGGCUAAAACUCAAAGGAAUUGACGGGGACCCGCACAAGCGGCGGAGCAUGCGGAUUAAUUCGAUGCAACGCGAAGAACCUUACCAAGGCUUGACAUAUACGAGAACGGGCCAGAAAUGGUCAACUCUUUGGACACUCGUAAACAGGUGGUGCAUGGUUGUCGUCAGCUCGUGUCGUGAGAUGUUGGGUUAAGUCCCGCAACGAGCGCAACCCUCGUUCUAUGUUGCCAGCACGUAAUGGUGGGAACUCAUGGGAUACUGCCGGGGUCAACUCGGAGGAAGGUGGGGAUGACGUCAAAUCAUCAUGCCCCUUAUGUCUUGGGCUUCACGCAUGCUACAAUGGCCGGUACAAAGGGCUGCAAUACCGCAAGGUGGAGCGAAUCCCAAAAAGCCGGUCCCAGUUCGGAUUGAGGUCUGCAACUCGACCUCAUGAAGUCGGAGUCGCUAGUAAUCGCAGAUCAGCAACGCUGCGGUGAAUACGUUCCCGGGUCUUGUACACACCGCCCGUCAAGUCAUGAAAGUCGGUAACACCUGAAGCCGGUUGCCCAACCCUUGUGGAGGGAGCCGUCGAAGGUG
rnacentral:rRNA from 1 species